rnacentral:rRNA from 1 species
UACGUAGGGUGCAAGCGUUAAUCGGAAUUACUGGGCGUAAAGCGUGCGCAGGCGGUUAUGUAAGACAGAUGUGAAAUGCCCGGGCUUAACCUGGGAACUGCAUUUGUGACUGCAUGGCUAGAGUUUGGCAGAGGGGGGUAGAAUUCCACGUGUAGCAGUGAAAUGCGUAGAUAUGUGGAGGAACACCGAUGGCGAAGGCAGCCCCCUGGGUCAAGACUGACGCUCAUGCACGAAAGCGUGGGAAGCAAACAGG